rnacentral:rRNA from 1 species
CCGCGGGANNUCGAUUAGAGUUUGAUUAUGGCUCANNACGAACGCUGGCGGCGUGCUUAACACAUGCAAGUCGAGCGGUAAGGCCCCUUCGGGGGUACACGAGCGGCGAACGGGUGAGUAACACGUGAGCAAUCUGCCCUUCACUUUGGGAUAACUCUGGGAAACGAGAGCUAAUACCGAAUACGACCACUUCAGGCAUCUGAUGGUGGUGGAAAGUUCCGGCGGUGAAGGAUGAGCUCGCGGCCUAUCAGCUAGUUGGUGGAGUAACGGCCCACCAAGGCUUCGACGGGUAGCCGGCCUGAGAGGGUGACCGGCCACACUGGGACUGAGACACGGCCCAGACUCCUACGGGUGGCAGCAGUGGGGAAUAUUGGACAAUGGGCGAAAGCCUGAUCCAGCAACGCCGCGUGAGGGAUGACGGCCUUCGGGUUGUAAACCUCUUUCAGUAGGGACGAAGCGCAAGUGACGGUACCUACAGAAGAAGCACCGGCCAACUACGUGCCAGCAGCCGCGGUAAUACGUAGGGUGCGAGCGUUGUCCGGAAUUAUUGGGCGUAAAGGGCUCGUAGGCGGUUUAUCACGUCGGGAGUGAAAUCUCAGGGCUUAACCCUGAGCCUGCUUCCGAUACGGGCAGACUAGAGGUAUGCAGGGGAGAACGGAAUUCCUGGUGUAGCGGUGAAAUGCGCAGAUAUCAGG